UACGGGGGGGCAAGCGUUGUUCGGAAUUACUGGGCGUAAAGGGUUCGUAGGUGGCCAACUCAGUCAGACGUGAAAUCCCUCAGCUCAACUGGGGAACUGCGUCUGAUACUAGAUGGCUUGAGUGCAGGAGAGGAACGCGGAAUUCCAGGUGUAGCGGUGAAAUGCGUAGAUAUCUGGAGGAACACCGGUGGCGAAGGCGGCGUUCUGGACUGCAACUGACACUGAGGAACGAAAGCCAGGGGAGCAAACGGG
rnacentral:rRNA from 1 species